GGCCAAUUGUAAGAGCUCUUUUGCAAAACAAUGCAAUGAAAAUCUACAUAUAAAAUAUGCCACACUAAAUGUUCAACACAACUAAACAAGUAAACUUCAAGGACUGAAACAAAAGCAGCUAAUAAGAUGACAAGUAAACUUCCACAACACGCACUUCUCUACAUUAACAUCAUCCAAAAAAUCUAUUCUGUGCUAUGGAUUCCAUUAUGUUGUUUGAUUCAAAUGCAAGUGAUUGUAUAAUAAUGUGGUUAAAGUUGAUGCAAGUUCAUAAACAUAACCUGUCCAGUCUAUCUGUUCCUACUAAAAGCAAGAGUUUCGGAACAGGACGUGAGAGAAAUUUUUCUGGAAGACCUUCAUACCUGCAAGAUAGACAAAGUAGCUAAUCCAUAAACAUACAUGAAUUGUAAAUUCCUAUUUUUAAAAAUCAAUAACUGAUAAACAAUAGCAGAAUCAAUAAUAUAUACAAAAGAAAUGGUAUGUGUUAGGAAGGAGUUUCCAAACAACUCGGUGAUAAAAUUGCAUCCAAGAAUGUACAAUUGACAUUCAAAUAAUGAUCAAUUCACAAAAUGGUUUUAAUAACUGCCAUGAAAUAAAUCCUCAUCGCAAUGCCAUUUUAUAGCAGUAAAUGUUAAUUGCCCAUUAAGUUAUAGCAUCCUCUCCAAUAACUGUCAUGAAAUCAAACUGUCUUGGUCUAAAUUUGUUUAACAUAAAAGCAAAUCCUAUAUACAGUAACUUUUAAAAAAAUAUAGACAUUCCGAUUACUUGAACAUACUGUGGCAGGAGAACUUACCAUUUC
rnacentral:misc_RNA from 1 species